rnacentral:lncRNA from 1 species
AAGGCAGGAGAAGAAGGAGACGACAGAGGAUGAGAUGGUUGGAUGGCAUCUUGAUUCAAUGGACGUGAGUUUGAGCAAAUUCUGGGAGACAGUGAAGGACAGGGAAGACUGCUGUGCUGCAGUCCAUGGGGUCGUAAAGAGUCGGACACGACUUAGGGACUGAACAACAAUAAGCAUUCUACACAUAUUUACUUAUUUUAUUCUUUUCACCAUCCUAUGAAGUACAUGUUACAAUUAGCUCCAUUUUAUAGACCAAGGCACAGAACUCUGUAAGCAACAUGGCCAGGGGCACACAGUAAUCUAUAAGGCCAGGCAGACUCCUGAAAUUCAUGCUAGUGAUUCAUGCUAAUGACUCAUACCACGACCUGUUUCUCCAACCACCAGGACAUCCUGCCUCCCAGCCUUGAGCUCUUGAUUCUGGAUGGUUCUGGGACUCUGGAAGGCCAGGCAGCCAUUGGGAGCCAGGGUUUUUCCAAGAGAGUGCCUCCUCCCACCUCAGGGAAAUGGCAGGCAGGACCUAGACUGUGUUUCCGAGUGUGGAUGUGAGUGUGCACGUGUGCACCUCAGGCUGGGCAGCAUCAGGGCGUGCAUGCAGCUGAUUUAUAACCCUCAGAGAAAACAGAAUUGCAAAGCUCACUCACAAAUCUUCCCUAUCGAGGGACUUGUGACAGGCAGACAUGCAGUGAAUUCCCAAGAACAGGCAGGCCUCCCUGCAGCCUCUGCUCCUGAGAUGAGUCCAGGUGACCUGGCCACCUGUGGGUCAGCUCCACAGAGGUCCAGGCCAGUGGUGGCCAGUGGACAGCCGGCUCAGCCCUGGGAGUGGUCACUGACCUGGGGUGGGGGACCUGUUUCAGUGUAUCAGAAAUGCUGGCUCCAGAGUGACCCGGCCCCUGAGGAAGCAACCCCAGACACAGGUUACCCAUCCUCUACCCUCUGGCAGGUCCCACCCCACAGCCAGCCCUUAUACUCUGGUCCUCACUGCUCAGAAGUUUGGGAUCAGGACCCUUAGCAACUACAAAACUGGACACUAGCGAUGUCUCUUGACUCAUACCACGUGCUUUUGUACUGUACUAAAUUUUUAAGGUUUGUCUCAUUUGAGCACAUGUCACAUGCAGAGGCUGGAGAAGUCUCUUGAGAGUCCCUUGAACAGCAAGGAGAUCAAACCAGUCAAUCUGAAAGGAAAUCAACCAUGAACACUCAUUGGAAGGGCUGAUGCUGAAGCUGAAGCUCCAAUACUUUGGCCAC